rnacentral:lncRNA from 1 species
UCAUUUUCAACCUCUCCAUUCUACAAUAUCAAUCUCCUUUCUUUCUCAUUCUAUUCCAAUCUCCACAAUUUCUCCUUUUCUUUCUCACACUCAAUCCAAACAUCUCAAACUCAUUUCUCCUUCUUAAUCCAAACAUCUCAAUCUCAUUUCUCCUUCUCAAUCCAAAAAUCUCAAACUCAUUUCUCCAUCUCAACCUUCGUCUUUGUGUGCUCCCACUCAUUGAAAG